rnacentral:sRNA from 1 species
AAUUUCUACUGUUGUAGAU